UUUUCGAGUAAAGCGGGGGAUUUUCCAAGAGCAAAUGUGUGAUUUUGGGGAUAAUGGGGUAUUUUUGAAGAGAUGAAGCAUGAUUUUGGGGUAAAUGCGGGAUUUUGCAAGAGAAAACGCAUGAUUUUUGAGUUAAAUGGGGGAUUUUCUAAGAGAAACUGCAUGAUUUUGGGGUAAAUGCGGGAUUUUCCAAGAGAAAAGGCAAGAUUUUUGAGUGAAAUGGGGGAUUUUCCAAGAGAUAAUGCGUGAUUUUGGGGUUAAAAGGGGAUUUCUGAGGAGGAAAUGUGUGAUUCUUGGGAUAAUGGGGUAUUUUUGGAGAGAAAAUGCGUGAUUUUGGGGUAAAUGCGGGAGUUUCCAAGAGAAAAGGCGAGAUUUUUGAGUUAAAUGGGGGAUUUUCUAAGAGAAAAUGCAUGAUUUGGGG
rnacentral:lncRNA from 1 species